rnacentral:lncRNA from 1 species
AUGCCCUUUAACUCUUGUAUUCUAAGAAUAUGUGGGCAACUACAGUCUGUUCCUCUUCAUCAUGUUAUUCAGAACAAUAUAGAUACCUGUCACUUCUCUCCUUACUCAGGCUGUAAUUCCAUGGGACUAUGUCACUCUCUGCAUGGAAGCUGUCACCCAACUCUGAACCAUACAGCAAAAAUUAAUUGGCCUCUACUUAACCAACAGCCUGUGUACCAGGAAUAUGCUCCAGACUCCCCACCUUGGAGGAGCAGGUCACAGUGGGGGAAGGCGAGCUGGCCUGAAUGUUUCUUCUUCUGUCCAGUAGCACAGGAUCAACUCUUCCUGAAUUCCCACCUGUGAGGAUCCCAUUUUGCAUGUACCAAGCAAAGACAUUUUUAGAGGCUGAUAGUUUUCUCCCAGGAAGCCUCUGCCCAUGCUGAGCUGUUUGAAGUUAUGGCAGAUCCUCUGUGCUGACCAGACAGGUCAUGUACCAUAGACAGUGUGUCCCAAGUGUCAAGUGUUGGGCAGGACACUUUCCAGUCUUGCCUACUGGCUCCAGAAAUGCGGGCAAACUGACUUUUCCGUGCUCAUAUCUCCACAGUAAGGAAUAGAGAAGAAGAGGAAGGCGACGGCUCAGCAGUUGUAGUGUGGAAAACAGACAAGAAGAGGGGUGGGAAGCAAAGACAGACUGAGGAAGGCGGGACAUCUCAGGCAGUGAUGUGAUGGAGGAGAUGGGACACGCUGGUCUGUAAUUGCUUAAGGGCACUGCUUGCAGAGACUGGACUUGAAUUCAGUACUCAUGGCCCAGCCUGGUGAGACUCGGGACCAAGUGCUGAGGCUGAACAUGGUGCUACGACCCAGCAAGUACAAAACAGAAGGGAGAGAGCAGGUGUCUUCCUGAGACUCUCUUUUUUAGCACAAUGUCUGAUAAUGUAUACAGCAAGGUCCUGAGAUAUUUCUGGACCCGGAUGGGGCUUUGAGCAACCUGGUCUAGUGAGAGGUGUCCCUGCCCAUGGCAGGGGGUGGGGCUGGAUGAUCUUUAAGGUCCCUUCCAACCCAAACCAUUCUGUGAUUCUAUGGUUCUGUCAACAGCUGAGAGUGCAGUGAGACCAGGAUCUUUACAAAUUGCACAUGUAAUUAAUAUUUCUUAUGUACCUAGUGUGUUGGACGGCAUAUCUUCAGGCACGUUAAGGGAACAUACCCACUGCUUGCAAGUGGGGGAUGGAGCUGGAUAAAAUGGAAUAGAAUGGCUCCCUGUGGAGAAGGCGUGUGGGGAGGGAGAAACGCCCGGGGAGCAGCGUACUGAACAGUGGAGGUCUGAGCCUCAAGUGGAAGCCAUGGAAACUGCAUUUCCACUAGACAGGAUGCAGAAACUGGGGAAAACCCUGGAGGUGUAAGGGGUGGUAGAGUUAUCAUGUGCAGCCUGGACCCUCACCCUUCCAUCAACAGGAUGGACCCUCACCAUCCUGCAAGGAUGGUGGACACAGGAGCUCUUAAUCUGUGCCUUGUUAAAUGUAUGCACUAGGGUACAGUAGCACAAUAUUUGCUUUAAUUUGCUUGCAACCUUUUUUUUUUCCUCCAGUGCUUCAAGAUUUCUUCUCUGGAUCUUUGCUUUACAAUUUGACAAAUUAAUUUCUACCUUACUUUACUGUAAGGUCUCAGGAGACAAAAUAAAGCAG